CCUAUAGUGGCCUGUGAAGCUGUGAUGCCUCAAAGGAGAAGACAAGGCCACAACUAAGAACACCUGGCUCCAACAUCAUUUAAGUAGCCAGUCUCCAACAGCAUGACCCUGGUCAGCACUGUCCAGUUCUGCUGAGGAUAACACCUUUCAGCCUAAGACUUCAGAAUUUCAGCAUAUGAUAAAAUGGAAGCCAAGAAAAUCAGAGCAGCCUUGUAGCUAGAAGGUGGAAGAAACUGUAUUAGAAAAAAAUAGACAAGGAUCUCUGAUCUUAAGUUCGACACCUAACUGGGAUGAGAAGACUAACUUUUGCAAGAUGAUCAGCAAAUAGUAAUCCUUAUGGUUCAUGGAUUUGGGAGCCAAUGAUAAGGAGCUAAGCAGGAACAAGGUCCCCAGACCUGCAGCAAACAAGGAGAA